rnacentral:lncRNA from 1 species
AAGCGGGACAACUAGACACAAUGAGUAAUUUAAUGAUAGCUAUGACAGCGGUGAUCACCAUUGCCAUGAGUAUUCCUUCAACAAGGGCUGACACAGAGAACAAUUAUAUCUUAGUCAAUUUCAGAGAGAUUACAUCACAGUGAUAAUCAGUGUGUGUUUAAGGACAUAUGACAUCUUUACAUUUAUUACAUUUUCCAUUGAUAUCUUUCCAUGGGUACUUUUUGGAUAAUAAUCAUUUUAUAUCCUUUCUGAGACAUUUUGGGACUCAUUUGCAGACUAUACAAAGAUAACACAGAUUAAAAGCACAAUCAUCAUUGAAAUCACAGAGCUUCCAAGUGUUUUUAUCUAUUUUAAUGGGUUAAUAGCUGCUAAUCCAUCUGUAGCUCCUUCAAGCACUCCAGUUCCUGGCAUUAAGGUCAGGUGUGCCUGGGAUGCUUUAAAUAUUUGUUCUUUUAAUUUUGCAAUAUCCAAGUUUCUAGAGUGUCCUUCUAGAUGCUUUUUUAUCCUUUCCCAAAUUUUGAUCUUAUUAAGAGCCAUUAAUAGUUUCCACAAAUCCUUAUGUUUAGCUCCUACAGCAGGCCAUAUCAUUUGAGGUUGAGGUGCCACUAUACCACCAUGUUUCCAGAUAAUAGGAACUCUUGCCAUACUUCUUAUCAUUUCUACCAUCUGACCAUUUUGUUCAGACCAGCUGAACAUAGUGUGGCCGUGCCAGGCAGACUGAGAGGUGCAAUUCAAGCUAAACAUCCCCUUAGGGGAACAAUCAAUAAUGACUCCAUAGGAAUCAUUGCACAGCACCUCUG